AGUGAACGCUGGCGGUAGGCCUAACACAUGCAAGUCGAACGGCAGCACAGUAAGAGCUUGCUCUUACGGGUGGCGAGUGGCGGACGGGUGAGGAAUACAUCGGAAUCUACUUUUUCGUGGGGGAUAACGUAGGGAAACUUACGCUAAUACCGCAUACGACCUACGGGUGAAAGCAGGGGAUCUUCGGACCUUGCUCGAUUGAAUGAGCCGAUGUCGGAUUAGCUAGUUGGCGGGGUAAAGGCCCGCCAAGGCGACGAUCCGUAGCUGGUCUGAGAGGAUGAUCAGCCACACUGGAACUGAGACACGGUCCAGACUACUACGGGAGGCAGCAGUGGGGAAUAUUGGACAAUGGGCGCAAGCCUGAUCCAGCCAUACCGCGUGGGUGAAGAAGGCCUUCGGGUUGUAAAGCACUUUUGUUGGGAAAGAAAAGCAGCAGGUUAAUACCCCGCUGUUCUGACGGUACCCAAAGAAUAAGCACCGGCUAACUUCAUG
rnacentral:rRNA from 1 species